UGAACGCUGGCGGCAGGCCUAACGCAUGCAAGUCGAGCGGAUGAAGGGAGCUUGCUCCUGGAUUCAGCGGCGGACGGGUGAGUAAUGCCUAGGAAUCUGCCUGGUAGUGGGGGAUAACGUCCGGAAACGGGCGCUAAUACCGCAUACGUCCUGAGGGAGAAAGUGGGGGAUCUUCGGACCUCACGCUAUCAGAUGAGCCUAGGUCGGAUUAGCUAGUUGGUGGGGUAAAGGUCUACCAAGGCGACGAUCCGUAACUGGUCUGAGAGGAUGAUCAGUCACACUGGAACUGAGACACGGUCCAGACUCCUACGGGAGGCAGCAGUGGGGAAUAUUGGACAAUGGGCGAAAGCCUGAUCCAGCCAUGCCGCGUGUGUGAAGAAGGUCUUCGGAUUGUAAAGCACUUUAAGUUGGGAGGAAGGGCAGUAAGUUAAUACCUUGCUGUUUUGACGUUACCAACAGAAUAAGCACCGGCUAACUUCGUG
rnacentral:rRNA from 1 species